AGAAAAUAAAAGAGAAACUUUCUAAUUCGUAAUUUACAUGUUUUUUAUUUACUACGGGACUUCAACUACCUCAAUUCGAUCGCCGGACUCUCCUUAAUUGGAGCAGAGCAGUCACUGCAAUAACUUACUUCACAAUGGUUUGGGUUCUUUCUCUCUGUGAGCAGCCAACAAAGACCAACAACUAUCUUUUACGUGCCCCUUUCUAUGCCUUCGAUUUCUGGCUCCCUAUUUUCUGUAUUGAAUGCUCUUGGCAUUAUAGCUUUUCCCUUCAGAGGUCAUAACUUAGUUCUUGAAAUUCAGUGGACGACGAUUCCAUCAACGUUUAAACAUCCAGCUCAUGUACCAAUGUGGAGAGGAGCUAAAGUUGCUUACUUCUUCAUUGCUCUUUGUAUCUUUCCCAUAUCCAUCAAAGGCUUUUGGGCUUAUGGGAACCUUAUAAGUUCCAUUUACUCUAAUAUUCAGUUGGUUAGCUAUCAUUUUGGUCUAUGUGAUAUAGACUUGAUUAUAAUUUUCUUGGUCUUAUGCCUUCAGGAGGUAUGCUGGCUGCUCUAUAUGCAUUCCACAUUCACGACAUUUUUAUUAGCGACGGCAUUUCUCCUAGUAGUCUUCACUGCUUGAGCAGCUUUUAGAUAUACUUCAUGCCUGCCUUUGACAGGUUUGCGGCUGGCUACACAAGCAGAACCGAAAAGCUGUGUUCAAUCUGGGUCAAAUCAAGUUUCAGAGUCUUUUCAGUUUUGUUUUGUUUUUUCAUUGGCGUUGCUCUCCCUUUCCUGUCCAGCGGUGGACGGAGAGUAACGUACGGGUUCGGGUUCACGUGCCCCGUCUAAUUUCUAAUAUUCUUUAAGAAAUACUAUAAGGUCUUUAGAAGUGCCCUCAACCCGAAACUAAAAGAAAAUGUAGUCAAGGAAAUUUUUGUCCCCCCCAAUUAUAUUUGUUUCUAGAUCAGCCCCUGUUCCUGUCUAGCCUUGCCAGUUUGCUCGGUGGACUUAGACUCCGGUCACGUUUGCUUAUACUUGUUUCAUGUGGGUCUUGAUCAAGAAACCUGCCAAGUACAGUUUCAGUUGGUAUUUCCAUUGGGGAUUGGGUUUGUUCGGGGUUGCAUUCAGCUUGGCCUUCUCCAUAGGUGAUAUAUGGAGUAUGGUUAUUCAAGGACUUAAGCUUAAGUUCUAUAGUCAUAAGUCAUAACUAAGUUAGAAAGCUGAUGUUCAAAGUCGGUAAUUUCUUCUUGUUAUGAAGUUUUUAAAAGGUUUUUUCUUGUAUUUGUCUGUAUUUUGUCUAGGAGUGUUUAGUUUUGAAUUGAAAGAAAUGUAUGUGUGAUAUAUUCUAAUAUUCAGUAAGUUUUUAGUGCC